AGUGAACGCUGGCGGCGUGCCUAAUACAUGCAAGUCGAACGGAGUGGCGCACGGGUGAGUAAUGUAUAGCUAAUAUGCCCUCCACUAGAGGACAACAGGUGGAAACGACUGCUAAUACUCUAUAGUGUAGGAUGAGGCUAUAUUGUAUCAGCUAGUUGGUGAGGUAAUGGAGCACCAAGGCUAUGACGCAUAACUGGUCUGAGAGGAUGAUCAGUCAAACUGGACUGGAGACACGGUCAAGGCUCCUACGGGAGGCAGCAGUAGGGAAUAUUGCUCAAUGGGGGAAACCCUGAAGCAGCAACGCCGCGUGGAGGAUGACACGUUUCGGAGCGUAAACUCCUUUUGUUAGGGAAGCGUUACCUACCGAAUAAGCACCGGCUAACUCCGUGCCAGCAGCCGCGGUAAUUC
rnacentral:rRNA from 1 species